AGCGAACGCUGGCGGCGUGCUUAACACAUGCAAGUCGAGGGAGAACGGCGGGCUUCGGCCUUCCUAGUAAACCGGCGCACGGGUGAGUAACACGUAGGUAACCUACCUUCGAGACUGGGAUAACCCAUCGAAAGAUGAGCUAAUACCAGAUAUGACCACGGGAGUCUCGGCUUCUGCGGUGAAAGAUGGCCUCUGCUUGCAAGCUAUCACUCAAAGAUGGGCCNGCGCGCCAUUAGCUAGUUGGUGGGGUAACGGCCCACCAAGGCUACGAUGGCUAGUUGGUCUGAGAGGAUGACCAGCCACACUGGGACUGAGACACGGCCCAGACUCCUACGGGAGGCAGCAGUGGGGAAUAUUGCGCAAUGGGGAAACCCUAACGCAGCGACGCCGCGUGGGUGAAGAAGGCCUGCGGGUUGUAAAGCCCUUUUCAGUGGGGAAGAAAGCCUCGACCUAACACGUCGGGUCUUGACGUAACCCAUAGAAGAAGCACCGGCUAACUCUGUGCC
rnacentral:rRNA from 1 species